CCCUAUACAUGCAAGUAGAACGCUGAAGAGAGGAGCUUGCUCUUCUUGGAUGAGUUGCGAACGGGUGAGUAACGCGUAGGUAACCUGCCUUGUAGCGGGGGAUAACUAUUGGAAACGAUAGCUAAUACCGCAUAACAAUGGAUGACACAUGUCAUUUAUUUGAAAGGGGCAAUUGCUCCACUACAAGAUGGACCUGCGUUGUAUUAGCUAGUAGGUGAGGUAAUGGCUCACCUAGGCGACGAUACAUAGCCGACCUGAGAGGGUGAUCGGCCACACUGGGACUGAGACACGGCCCAGACUCCUACGGGAGGCAGCAGUAGGGAAUCUUCGGCAAUGGGGGCAACCCUGACCGAGCAACGCCGCGUGAGUGAAGAAGGUUUUCGGAUCGUAAAGCUCUGUUGUAAGUCAAGAACGGGUGUGAGAGUGGAAAGUUCACACUGUGACGGUAGCUUACCAGAAAGGGACGGCUAACUACGUGCCAGCAGCCGCGGUAAUACGUAGGUCCCGAGCGUUGUCCGGAUUUAUUGGGCGUAAAGCGAGCGCAGGCGGUUUGAUAAGUCUGAAGUUAAAGGCUGUGGCUCAACCAUAGUUCGCUUUGGAAACUGUCAAACUUGAGUGCAGAAGGGGAGAGUGGAAUUCCAUGUGUAGCGGUGAAAUGCGUAGAUAUAUGGAGGAACACCGGUGGCGAAAGCGGCUCUCUGGUCUGUAACUGACGCUGAGGCUCGAAAGCGUGGGGAGCGAACAGGAUUAGAUACCCUGGUAGUCCACGCCGUAAACGAUGAGUGCUAGGUGUUGGAUCCUUUCCGGGAUUCAGUGCCGCAGCUAACGCAUUAAGCACUCCGCCUGGGGAGUACGACCGCAAGGUUGAAACUCAAAGGAAUUGACGGGGGCCCGCACAAGCGGUGGAGCAUGUGGUUUAAUUCGAAGCAACGCGAAGAACCUUACCAGGUCUUGACAUCCCGAUGCUAUUUCUAGAGAUAGAAAGUUACUUCGGUACAUCGGUGACAGGUGGUGCAUGGUUGUCGUCAGCUCGUGUCGUGAGAUGUUGGGUUAAGUCCCGCAACGAGCGCAACCCCUAUUGUUAGUUGCCAUCAUUCAGUUGGGCACUCUAGCGAGACUGCCGGUAAUAAACCGGAGGAAGGUGGGGAUGACGUCAAAUCAUCAUGCCCCUUAUGACCUGGGCUACACACGUGCUACAAUGGUUGGUACAACGAGUUGCGAGUCGGUGACGGCGAGCUAAUCUCUUAAAGCCAAUCUCAGUUCGGAUUGUAGGCUGCAACUCGCCUACAUGAAGUCGGAAUCGCUAGUAAUCGCGGAUCAGCACGCCGCGGUGAAUACGUUCCCGGCCCUUGUACACACCGCCCGUCACACCACGAGAGUUUGUAACACCCGAAGUCGGUGAGGUAACCUUUGAGCCAGCCGCCUAAGGUGACA
rnacentral:rRNA from 1 species